rnacentral:misc_RNA from 1 species
GAUGAAGAACGCAGCGAAAUGCGAUAAGUAAUGUGAAUUGCAGAAUUCAGUGAAUCAUCGAAUCUUUGAACGCACCUUGCACCCUUUGGCAUUCCAAAGGGUAUGCCUGUUUGAGUAUCAUGAAAUUCUCAACUCCUCUCAGAUUCCAUCUGUAGGGUGAGCUUGGAAUUGGAGGUUUCUGCUGGCGUUCGCCGGCUCCUCUUGAAAUCAUUAGCUUUGAGUUGAUCUUGACGGCUUGACCGGUGUGAUAAACAUCUACGCCGAUUCACGCCGUCCUGAGCGACGACGUCGGAGACGCUCUGGCUUAUAACCGUCUUCACCGAGGGACAACGCCCUGAACUUUUGAUCUCAAAUCAGGUAGGACUACCCGCUGAACUUAAGCAUAUCAAUAAGCGGAGGA